GGCCUGAUCUUGCGUCAUGGUGCGCCUGCACAGCUCUCACAAUGGACGUGGCUAGUUUCAGGUGUGUGAGGAAGUCAGGUGCUAGUCAUGAGACUUAGCUGCAGUCCCGGGUGCCAUCUUGGGACUGCUGCCAUACCCGCUCCCCACAUAAAGCUGUAGUUUUCUUUUUUUCUUUCUCGAGAGUGUAAUGCACUUAUAACAUUUUUCUCUUCUUUUUCCUUCUCUACCUUUUAACAAGAGCCUUAAAAAAAUAUUGGGUGUGGCGUGUUAAGCUCUGCGAAUAAGUACAUCUAGCUUAUGUGUACAAUUAGUGCAUCAUCGAAGUGUUUAAAAACUCCCUGGAAAAUAAAAAAGAAACUACUAUAGCAGUCACUAACAUCUUCUUCUGUUGCUUCUCUGUCAUCGUUUUCAAAAAUCACCUUACAUCUUCCCAUAACUGUGAGCAUUUCAUGAGGUGCUGCAAGAUUUCCUGAGCAUCUAUGUUGCCAAGUGCCUUAUUUGUGAAAAGCAAUUUAUGAUUUAUUUUGCCCAAUUAUAUUGCAUUCCUUUCUCAGAGCAGUUUUUACUCCUCUCUGGCGCUUAUGAUGAUGUGUAUUGGUGGCAAGUCUUAUUGCGCUGUCGGAGAAAUGGAAACAGAGAACUGUCUUGUGUCAGAACGGCAGUCAGGGUUAGAGAAUGUGUGUCAGAUGAGUUAUCUUUCUCUGCCACAAAAUGUGGGUCUCAAUUCUUCAUGGAGACCUUAGGCAACUGUUAAUCUUCAGUAGCAGGAAAAUCCAAACCUAAUCUUUUUAUAUUACCUCAUUAUUUCUGUUCAUAAAUGAAAAUUUAAUUUCUGUUAUGGUUCUUAGUGCAGUCAACUGUUAUAUUAUUAAUUAUCCAAGUGCUGCUAAUGCCUAGGAAUGAUAUUUUAAUAAGGUUUAAUCUCUUUUCCACAUUCUAGUGUCUUCCAUAAUUAUGUAUGUCUCUGUUUUUCUCCUUUUUUAUUUGCAAACAUACCCAGCAGAGAAAACUGUAAUUCCAAGUUGGCUUCAUUUCUGAGACAGACUCAUCACUCAUAAUCCAGGCUCUGUGCAGUUUUUCAAAGGAAAAAGAAAAGAAAUCAAAGAAAAGCAACUUUAUUUCAAAUACUAACUGUAGUCUUGAACUGCAUCUUGGACUUGCUUUAAGAUGUAGUGUCUACACAGUAGCCAGAGGGUCUUUUAUGCAUUUGAUGAUCACUCUGGAAGUCUCUUUGGAAGGAAAUUGUUUUGUGUAUGACAAGAAACAUAAUUUUUGUUUUAAGUUAUGCUCUAAGGAAGUAGAAGAUUCUAUAUGAAGUUUAUAUGGACAAAAUUGAGCUAUUCCAUUAUAUACACGUCAGUGUUAUGCUCUUUUCUAUCAUUAAGCAGAAAACUGAGGUCUAAAUGAUUUUGAUAAUUCUUUCUUUUUCUUUAGGAUGGAGAGUCUAUGAUUUUCAAUUUUGUUUUGCCACCCCAUAGUGUUCAUUCUGGUUCUCUUUGUCUCUCUCUUCUUUCUAGGGUACCUCACUUUGUAGCCCAAGAGUCAGUAUAUAGCUUAGGCUGUACUUGAAUUCUUAGGAAUCCUCCUGCCUAAGUCUUUUGGGUAGUCAUAGUGACUAGCACAUUUUAGCUUCACUUCUAUAUAAGGUACUUGUAUGUUUGUAUUUAUAAUUUAUCGCAGGAGCAAGACUCUUAGCAGUACCCAUGGACUGUCUCUUUAGGACAUUUUUUAUUUCUCUCAUGGCACUAGACACUGGUAAGAACCCAUAGUAGAAAAAAGAGAAGCCUAUGAAUUCCAUGAGGCUGAAGGUGAAAUGGAGAUUAAAACUACUCAGUGUAUAAAUAUCUUAAGAAGAUUCUAUAUACUCUGAUUCUGGUUUCAGUACAAGUAAUGUAUGUGUGACAUGUUCACACUAGUCUUCCAGCUAGCUUUUCUGUUGGUGCAGCAAUGUCUUCUUGUAGCUUAUCUUAUAGGAAAUAGGUAAUCUACCCUCUGAAAUGUUGUUUCUUAAAAGCACUACAGCAUUUGAUAGUAUUGCAUCAGGAAUUCCAUUUAUCUAUCUGUCUGUCUGUCUGUCUAUCUAUCCAUCCGUCUAUCUAUCAUCUAUCUAUUGAUCUAUUUAUGAACAGGGACUCAUUAUGCAUACUGGCUGCCUUGGAACUUAUUUUAUAGACCAGACUUGCCUUAGAGUCACAAAAGCUUUGCUUGCCUCUUUCCCCUGCAUGCUAGGACUAAAGGUUUGUGUCCUCAUAUUUACUAAGAAUCUCUUUCUUAGAUACAUGUACUUUGUGGUGUCUAAUCUUGCUCAUUAAUUUGAUUGAAUCUAAAACCACUAAGACCUUUGGGCAGGUCUGUAUCCAUGUUCCUCAGAAAGAUUAACCAAGAUUUCAAAGAUCUCCUCUAGAGUUGCCAUUACAAUUCUAGGGAAAGAAAAAGGAAUGUGCUUUUCCCUAUUGGCUUUUCUUACUGCUUCUUAGUGCAAAUGCUCUGUUCUUGCUCUGUUGCUGCUGCUGCUACUACUGACCCUGCCAUUCUUUACUGGUGUUUUAACCCAGCUUCCUCAGACUCCAAUGUGAUCUGAAGAUAAGUACUCACAAGAAGAGCUACAAGUCUUCUGUGGCAGAUUCGGACAAUUGAGACAUCCAUAUUUUGGUGGUCUUAACAACUGCUGGGAUCUCACUCUCUUCAGUGUACCAAAAGCCAUUUUUGGAUUACCCAGUGCACAACCUGAAAUCUGAAGCAAGGAAAGCAUCUGGUGCUAUUAUCCUUAAACACAGAGAACUGAUGUUUCCCCCAGCAAUGCACUCUCUUCUUCUGCUUCUCUGUAAAGGCAUUUGAUUUGCUUUUAAUUUUCAAAUUCAUGCUUUCCUGGGAAACUGUAUUGUGACUUGUCUGCUUCAUAAUUUAGGAAAUGACUUUUCCUUGUCUUUUUAAAAGUAUGCCUGAUGAAAAAC